rnacentral:rRNA from 1 species
UACGUAGGUGGCGAGCGUUAUCCGGAUUUAUUGGGCGUAAAGGGUGCGUAGGCGGCCUGUUAAGUUUAAGGUGAAAGCGUGGGGCUCAACCCCAUAAAGCCUUAGAUGGUGGCAGGCUAGAGUACUGGAGAGGAAAGUGGAAUUCCAUGUGUAGCGGUAAAAUGCGUAGAGAUAUGGAGGAACACCGGUGGCAAAGGCGGCCUUCUAGACAGUAACUGACGCUGAGGCACGAAAGCGUGGGGAGCAAAUA